rnacentral:rRNA from 1 species
GUCUAUGGCCAUACCACCCUGAACACACCCAAUCUCGUCCAAUCUCGGAAGCUAAGCAGGGUCAGGCCUGGUUAGUUAGUACUUGGAUGGGAAAUCUUCUUUCAAUAAUUCGAAUUGUUGAUU